GGAUUAGAUACCCUGGUAGUCCACGCCCUAAACGAUGAGUGCUAGAUAUCGGGAGCUUAGCUUUCGGUUUCGCAGCUAACGCAUUAAGCACUCCGCCUGGGGAGUACGGUCGCAAGAUUAAAACUCAAAGGAAUUGACGGGGGCCCGCACAAGCGGUGGAGCAUGCGGUUUAAUUCGAUGUUACGCGAAAAACCUUACCAACCCUUGACAUGGUGGUCGCGGAUCGCAGAGAUGCUUUCCUUCAGUUCGGCUGGAUCGGUGACAGGUGCUGCAUGGCUGUCGUCAGCUCGUGUUG
rnacentral:rRNA from 1 species